UUGUCGUCAGCUCGUGUCGUGAGAUGUUGGGUUAAGUCCGCAACGAGCGCAACCCCUAUUGUUAGUUGCCAUCAUUCAGUUGGGGCACUCUAGCGAGACUGCCGGUAAUAAACCGGAGGAAGGUGGGGAUGACGUCAAAUCAUCAUGCCCCUUAUGACCUGGGCUACACACGUGCUACAAUGGUUGGUACAACGAGUUGCGAGUCGGUGACGGCGAGCUAAUCUCUUAAAGCCAAUCUCAGUUCGGAUUGUAGGCUGCAACUCGCCUGCAUGAAGCCGGAAUCGCUAGUAAUCGCGGAUCAGCAUGCCGCGGUGAAUACGUUCCCGGGCCUU
rnacentral:rRNA from 1 species